rnacentral:lncRNA from 1 species
GGCGAAACCCGAUCUCUACUAAAAAUACAAAAAUUAGCCGGACGUGGUGGUGGGAGCCUAUAAUCCCAGCUAGAAAAAAAGAAAUACGUUGGUCAAUAUGAGAGGUUGAGUUUUACAGUUGAAGGGGAAGGGUGCAGCGAUAUUAAUUGGCUGUUUCUGACAGUAGUUUGGCACAUAGUUGUAUGUACACUCUGCUCCAGUAAAAUGAAAUGCGACCACAGUCAACGGUUACCUAUUUAUGCUGGAGGGUGUUUGGCAAUCAACUGUUAAUUUAAGUGAGAUUCCAUUCUGCCGCUUAGCCAUGGCAGAGCACACACAUGUGCACUCAGGGAAAGCAGAUGGAAUAGGUUAUAAACAGAAGCAAACUCCAAUUCAGGAGACAUGUUCACGCAGAAAUAGUACUAUGAUGCAACAUACAUCACAAAAACAAAUGGAAAUUGUGUUUGUUUGUUUUUGAGAUACAGUCUUGCUCUUUCGCCAGGCCAGAGUGCAGUGGCACAAUCUCAGCUCACUGCAACAUCCAUCUCCCAGGUUCAAGCGAUUCUCCUGCCUCAGCCUCCCGAGUAGCUGGGACUACAGGCAUGUGCCACCACACCCGGCUGCGUUUUGUAUUUUUAGUAGAGACGGGGUUUCACCAUCUUGGCUAGGCUGGUCUCAAACUCCUGACCUCAUGAUUCACCCACCUCGGCCUCCCAAAGUGCUGGGAUUACAGGUGUGAGCCACUGCGCCCGGCCUGUGAAGGUCAUUUUAAGUGGCUGGAGCAAAAAACUUGGGCAGAGUGGAGGUUGCAAGGGGGUUGGGGGAGAAGAGUUUGGCAAAAGAUAAUCAGUGACCAGAUCCUGACAAAUCUUGUAAGCCAUGUUAAAGAGUUUGGUCUUUUUCUGGGGUUAACGGGCAAAGAGAAGAUUUAAGCAAAGGAAUGAAGUGGUCAGAUGUUCACUUUAGGAAGUCACUGGGUGCCAUGUAGAAAGUGGACGGCAGGUGAGGUGCCAGAGGCAGGGGAGCAGUCAGGGGGCUGUUGAUAUUCUCCUGGCAAGCGCUGGCAAUUGUCUGACCUCAGAACAGUGACGGAGAGACGUGGACUCAUUGGAGAACCACGUGGGAGGCACAAGUAACAUGGGGAGCUCUGGAAACAAAGCAGUGUGGGGAGAAGGAUACUAGUUUCUGACUUCAGCAACUAAGAAGAUAGUAGAGCACAAGACAUUUGGGACUGGAGGUAGGUCAUCAGUUCCUUUUGGUGUUUGCUGAACUUGAGGGGGUGUGUGGGGCAGUCACAACGAGAUGUCUUAGAGGCAACCCAGCUGGGGAGAAAGAGCUCAGCUGAAGUCAGAAUAGAGGGGGCAGCUGGGCGUGGUGGCUCACACUUGUAAUCCCAGCACUUUGGGAGGCUGAGGCAAGCGGAUCACUUGAGGUCAGGAGUUCAAGACCAGCCUGGCCAGCAUGGUGAAACCCCGUCUCUACUAAAAACAAACAGAAAAUUAGCCGGGUGCAGGCGUGUUGGCACACACCUGUAAUCCCAGCUACUCAGGAGGCUGAGGCAGGAGAAUCGCUUGAACUUGGGAGGGGGAGGUUGCGGUGAGCCAAGAUCACGCCAUUGCACUCCAGCCUGGGCAACAAGAGUGAAACUCCGUCUCAAAAAACAAACCAAAACAACUCAGCAUUUGACCCCCAAAAGCUCGGCCACAUUAAAGACUCCUCCUUGCAAGAUCUAACGGGGCCCAGAGACUACCAGACCACCAGACCAGGACUCCUUUGGUCUUCCUGCUCCCCCUGGACUGGUUCCUUAACCCUUUCUCCUCUUUUUCCUCUUGAUGUUAAAUGUUACUUUGUUUGUUGUGGGAUGUUUACUACAUAACACUUAUAUAUCAAUUAAGUAUGUUAUUCUGUACGGUUUGCAGUAUUGACUUAAUUAUUGUGGACUGGCUGGAGCCUGUGUGCCCGCAGCUGACUACUGAGUGAUGGGAAGUACUAAGGAGAAUUGCCUCCUUGGGAACUCCACGUAGCCUGUGGCUUUUGUGAUUUAAGUAGCAUGAAUAAAAGCGUGACACUGUGGAAAGACGCAAACACACGUGGACCUGGUUAUCUGUAACCUUGUACCGCUCAUGACAAAAUUAGCAAAUCGUUUUCUUUAAAAAAAAUCAUGGUAAAAUGUAUGUACCAUAAGGCUUAUUUUAAUCUUUUUUUUUUUUAAUUUUUUUUUUGAGACGGAGUUUCGCUCUUGUUGCCCAGGCCGGAAUCGCGCCAUUGUACUCCACCCUGGGCAACAAGAGCGAAAACUCCGUCUAA